GUUAGCUCAACUGCUGUAGUUCAAUUACAAUAACAUUUGUUUCAACCGAUAACUUCUGAAUUUUUCUUUUAGGUUCAGUUUUUGUUUUGUUUAUAGAAUAUCACCAUAUAUUUAAUACCAAGAUGUGCAUAAUUGUUGUAAGUUUGGAUGACUCUUUAUUCUACCUAGUUUAGACGGUUUUGAUUGACCUAGCUCAAGAUUCACCAGGUGUCAGACGUAGGAUUGUGACACUUCCUGGGAGCCCCCGAGCCACACGUCGACUGCACCAGGUGUCAAGACGUAGGAUUGUUGCACUCCGAGCCUCCGAGCCACGCGUUAAUCGACUAAUCGUUCCUGCAGAGUUCUGAGGUGGUAACGGUGGAGCUCAAUGGGAGGCUCCGGGAGAGUACAAUCGCGGGCUCACACGGGGAGUGGUGGCGGUGGGGCUCAUGGGGAGGCCCCGGGAGAGUUGUCAUUCGCGGGCUCACACGGGGAGAAAUCGGAAGCAAAAAGUUCCAGAACCAGAUGCAGACACACCCGGAGCCUACAAACUACCACCGCCGAGCAAGGACUAACAGUCACAUGAGGAGAUCAAAUAACAGCAGGAUUUGAAUCGCACCGGAUGGGUUGGUGGCCAGGGCACUGGCCACCUGUUGCUGACACGACGACGACGGAGAACCUGUUUGGAGGCUCCCAUGAUGUAGGAGUAACCUCUCUGAGUUGAGCCCUUGACAAGGAGGGAUGAGUCUUGGGUUCAUGAACUACAGGCCCGACGGCGACAGAAUCCAUGCCCAAACCACCCACAUGCAACAGCGAACCAAUGCACGAAGAUCACCUGAACCACCCGAAUCCAUGCUAGGCUAUCAAUAAUCUUGAAUUUUUUAAAUUGUAUUAUGACUACCAAUUUUUACUUUACUUUUGCACAUGAUGAAAAUUGUAUGACCUUGUAGCACAUGACCAAAAAGUAUUAGCUCAGGAUUUCUAUGGAUAGUUUUGUUUGUGUGCUGUUUGGCCAUGUGAUUGUAUGUUAACAAGAUUUGUGUUCAUUGUUGUAUUGUUAAAUAAUGACCUGUAUUUCCAAUAAGACCCACAACGUGAAUGCCGUCUCAGUAUUAUGGGGACGCGUAGUGGUUUUUCCCUCUCUUCAAGAGGUCUUUCCGCGACGGUUGAUGGUGUUGAUGAUUGAUCCUACUUUGACUAUGUUUUCGGUGUGGUAAAUGGUGUUUAUGAUUUAAAAUAUUAUUGUAUGGUCAUCUAAGAUGACCAAGGAGGGACUGUUACGUAUUUUAAGAAUCUAAGCUACCCACACAUAGACCCAAUGAUGCAGGACCAAACAUAUAAGCUGCGUUACCCUCACAUAGCCACAAGGGGAGC
ensembl:lncRNA